CGGGUGCAGCAGGCGCGAAAACUUUACAAUGCUGGCAACAGCGAUAAGGGGACCUCGAGUGCCAGGUUACAAAUCUGGCUGUCGUGAUGCCUAAAAAGCAUUGCAUAGCAAGGGCCGGGCAAGACCGGUGCCAGCCGCCGCGGUAACACCGGCGGCUCGAGUGGUAACCGUUAUUAUUGGGUCUAAAGGGUCUGUAGCCGGCCGGAUAAGUCUCUUGGGAAAUCCAGCAGCUCAACUGUUGGGCUUUCAGGAGAUACUGUCUGGCUCGAGGCCGGGAGAGGUGAGAGGUACUUCAGGGGUAGGGGUGAAAUCUUGUAAUCCUUGAAGGACCACCAGUGGCGAAGGCGUCUCACCAGAACGGACCUGACGGCAAGGGACGAAAGCUAGGGGCACGAACCGGAUUAGAUACCCGGGUAGUCCUAGCCGUAAACGAUACUCGCUAGGUGUCGGCCACGGUGCGACCGUUGUCGGUGCCGUAGGGAAGCCGUGAAGCGAGCCACCUGGGAAGUACGGCCGCAAGGCUGAAACUUAAAGGAAUUGGCGGGGGAGCACAAGGGCGAAUGCG
rnacentral:rRNA from 1 species